GACGAAUGCUGGCGGCGUGCUUAACACAUGCAAGUCGAACGGGAAGGCCCUGCUUUGGUGGGGUGAUCGGGUGGCGAACGGGUGAGUAACACGAAAGUAACCUGCGCUGGACUUUAAGAUAACUUCAGGAAACUGGGGAUAAUACAGGAUAGGAGCUCCUGCUGCAUGGUGGGGGUUGGAAAGGCUCGGCGGUGGGGGAUGGUCUCGCGGCUUAUCAGCUUGUUGGUGGGGUAGUGGCUUACCAAGGCGUUGACGGGUAGCCGGCCUGCGGGGGUGACCGGCCGCCUUGCGACUGCGGUGCGGCCCCGCAUCCUCCGGCGGGCAGCAGUGGGGAGGAUUGCACAAUGAGCGGCGGCCGGAUGAAGGAGCGCCGCGUGCGGGAUGAAGGCCUUCGGGGUGUAGUCCGCUUUUGUCUGUGACGAAGCGUGAGUGACGGUAAUUGGUAAAGAAGCACCGGCUAACUACGUG
rnacentral:rRNA from 1 species